UACGGAGGAUCCGAGCGUUAUCCGGAUUUAUUGGGUUUAAAGGGUGCGUAGGCGGAAAGAUAAGUCAGCCUGUGAAAGUUUGCGGCUCAACCGUAAAAUUGCAGUUGAUACUGGACGUCUUGAGUGCAUUAAAUGUGGGCGGAAUUCGUGGUGUAGCGGUGAAAUGCUUAGAUAUCACGAAGAACUCCGAUUGCGAAGGCAGCUUACCGGGGUACAACUGACGCUGAUGCACGAAAGUGUGGGUAUCAAA
rnacentral:rRNA from 1 species